rnacentral:rRNA from 1 species
UACGGAGGGUGCGAGCGUUGUUCGGAAUUACUGGGCGUAAAGCGCGUGCAGGCGGCCGACUAAGUCCGGUGUGAAAGCUCGGGGCUCACCCCCGGAAGUGCGCUGGAAACUGGUUGGCUAGAGUACGGGAGAGGAGACUGGAAUUCCUGGUGUAGCGGUGGAAUGCGCAGAUAUCAGGAGGAACACCGAUGGCGAAGGCAGGUCUCUGGGCAGUAACUGACGCUGAGGAGCGAAAGCAUGGGUAGCGAACAGG